UACGUAGGGUGCGAGCGUUGUCCGGAAUUACUGGGCGUAAAGAGCUCGUAGGUGGUUUGUCGCGUUGUCCGUGAAAACUCACAGCUUAACUGUGGGCGUGCGGGCGAUACGGGCAGACUGGAGUACUGCAGGGGAGACUGGAAUUCCUGGUGUAGCGGUGAAAUGCGCAGAUAUCAGGAGGAACACCGGUGGCGAAGGCGGGUCUCUGGGCCGUAACUGACGCUGAGGAGCGAAAGCGUGGGGAGCGAACAGG
rnacentral:rRNA from 1 species